ACGGGUGAGUAACACGUAGGUAACCUGCCUGUAAGACCGGGAUAACGAUCGGAAACGAUAGCUAAGACCGGAUAACUGGAUUUCCCGCAUGAGAGAAUCAUGAAACACGGAGCAAUCUGUGGCUUAUAGAUGGGCCUGCGGCGCAUUAGCUAGUUGGUGAGGUAACGGCUCACCAAGGCGACGAUGCGUAGCCGACCUGGGAGGGUGAACGGCCACACUGGGACUGAGACACGGCCCAGACUCCUACGGGAGGCAGCAGUAGGGAAUCUUCCGCAAUGGACGCAAGUCUGACGGAGCAACGCCGCGUGAGUGAUGAAGGUUUUCGGAUCGUAAAGCUCUGUUGCCCUAGACGAACAGCAGGGAGAGUAACUGCUCUCUGUGUGACGGUAUAGGAGUAGAAAGCCCCGGCUAACUACGUGCCAGCAGCCGCGGUAAUACGUAGGGGGCAAGCGUUGUCCGGAAUUAUUGGGCGUAAAGCGCGCGCAGGCGGUUGGUUAAGUCUGAUGUUUAAGCCCGGGGCUCAACCCCGGUUCGCAACGGAAACUGGCUGACUGGAGUGUAGGAGAGGAAAGUGGAAUUCCACGUGUA
rnacentral:rRNA from 1 species